rnacentral:snoRNA from 1 species
AUUGUUACAUGAUGAAUAAAAUCAAUGACCAUUUUUCGGCUGAAAUCUUGAUGGAUUUGCUUUUUUCUGAUAAAGCUG